UCUCUUUCUCUCUCUCUCUCUCUCUCCUUCUCUCUUUACCUGUAGCUAUUUCCUCUUGCUCCUUUUAAACUCCCUAUUUUUGGAAUUCAUUGAUGUGAGAGUCAUAAAUACCAGUGAGGGGCCAGAGGGGUCUUUUGGGAUCGUGUAUUUUCUUCAGCAAUGACAAGAACGCGGGAGGCUAAUCAAAGCGGCUCUUAUCUGAAGCUUCUUAGCACCCGACGCGGAACAGAGGAAUGCGGCCAGCUAAGGGGAUUGAGCUGGCUGCACCGUAUCCAAUGGUUCCGCCCCUUUGUUCCCUUUUCUGAAUUCUGAUUGGAACAAUGGAACAUCAAUCCAGUCCAAACAAGUGACUUUGGACAAAUGGUGUACGUGAUGGCAGAUCUUUGUGCGAAAGUCCCUGAGCUCUCCUGAAGCAGCAGAUCCCUUUUCAGCACCAGUUGUUCUUCCAGAUAAACUCUGCGGCACGCUCGCAGAUUCUCUUAAUAUGAUUCUGCAGGGUCGGGCUCAGGAGAAUAGACGCAAAACAAGCGUGCCAGGAGAAAGAGAGCGUUGAAUUUUUCAUCAGCAGGCCCUCGUACUUUUUUAGUAGGCGGCCGACUCAUUCAUGAGCAGAUGUUCAGCGCAGGUCCAAGCUGCAGUUAGCAUGAACUCUGCUGCCCUCUCAGCCGUUGGCUGCAAGGACGUUGGCAGCGACCCCGGCAUCUGAGAAUUCAUUCCCGGCAAAAAGCGCAGAGCGCCGCUUCGCCCAGACCCCUUUUUUUAGCCGCGUUGCCCAACCCAGGAGCCGGCCAGAAAUGGAGGAGGGCUUUUCUUUUGACAGGCCAUCAGUCUUCGCUCUGACACUGAUGAAAGACUCACCCUGGUCAACACAGGGGACCGGCCCCAAAAAUUCCUGAAGACAAUUUUUAAGUUUAUCAUUAAUGUUUUAUGACGUCCUCUGUAUGAAAAUAAGCCAUCUGGCACGAAAACCAAAACAG
rnacentral:lncRNA from 1 species